AUUGAACGCUGGCGGAAUGCUUUACACAUGCAAGUCGAACGGCAGCACGGACUUCGGUCUGGUGGCGAAUGGCGAACGGGUGAGUAAUACAUCGGAACGUGCCCAGUCGUGGGGGAUAACGUAGCGAAAGCUACGCUAAUACCGCAUACGAUCUAAGGAUGAAAGCGGGGGAUCGCAAGACCUCGCGCGAUUGGAGCGGCCGAUGGCAGAUUAGGUAGUUGGUAGGGUAAAGGCCUACCAAGCCGACGAUCUGUAGCUGGUCUGAGAGGACGACCAGGCACACUGGGACUGAGACACGGCCCAGACUCCUACGGGAGGCAGCAGUGGGGAAUUUUGGACAAUGGACGCAAGUCUGAUCCAGCCAUUCCGCGUGGAGGAUGAAGGCCCUCGGGUUGUAAACUGAUUUUGUACAGAACGAAAAGGCUCUGGUUAAUACCUGGAGCUCAUGACGGUACUGUAAGAAUAAGCACCGGCUAACUACGUGCCAGCCGCCGCAGUAA
rnacentral:rRNA from 1 species